UGUCUGCAGUUUCAGAUUCUUUUCCUUUCACUACACAACUUCUUCCAUAUACUUCCCUCUCUCUCUCUCUCUCUCUCUCUCUCUCAUCCCAUUGUUACCAUUUCUAUGAGCGCGUGUGACCAGUAAACAUGGCAAUCAGUAAAUAAAUAAUUCCACACACUCGCUUUCUCUACUGUUUCAUAUUCUUUUCCUUUCAUUGCAUAACUUCUUCUAUAUACUUCUCUCUUUCUCUCUCUCAUCCCACUGUUACCAUUUCCAUUGGUUGUUUGUUCUCAGCUCAAGAAGGAUUCUUGCCUAAGUCCUCGUUUUUUUAUCGGAAUGGUAGAUUUGAGGUGAAAAGGUUCCAUAUUUGUUAGGCCUUGGAUCUUCUUCAUCAAUGGAGUAUUUUGCAUCUUGAAGAUCAUGGAAGCGGAAUGGAGAAGGAAGAAAGAUUAUUGGAGAUGUCACUUCAAGAAGAAGAUGAGUCAAAAAGAAGUUCACUACCAUAGGAAGCCAUGGAUAAGAGCUUGAAGUUUGUAUCAAUGGAGAUUCUUGAGAACCGAAGGUGGAUGUAUCAGAGGUUGGAUGCUAAUAAACGUUGGCCAAAUGAGUUUAGAGAAGGAGUAUUUGAGUUCGUACAAUUUGUUACUAGUCAGGGCAUGUUUCAAAUGCAAGAUGAACAAACAAGGUGUCCAUGCAAGAAAUGCAAAUGUAAAGUUUUCAAGUUUGUGGAUGAUGUGAUGAGGCAUCUUUAUGAGGAAGGGUUCAUCCCCAAUUACUAUUGGUGGACAAACCAUGAUGAGGAGUUACCGCAAUUUCCUCCAGUAGUGUUGCAAGGUUCAUAUUAUGGAAGUGGUGGGCAAAGGAAAGAAUUGAAUCCUUAUGAGCAAAUGAUCGGAUCAUGCUGGACCAUCAAUUGGGAAAUACAUAGAAAAAGAGGGUGCAAUUGAGACAUAAUGCACAAAGGAAAAUCCUAAUCUUGAAGCUCAAAAGUUCUUUGAUAUGCUUGCAACUGUGCAAGCAAUAUUAUGGGAAGGAUGCGAGCAUCAUUCAAAAUUGCCAUCUUCUUUAGCCUGCCUUAGCUUGAAAUCUGAUUAUAAUAUGUCAAAAGGGUGUUUUAAUUGUAUGGUUCAAUUUAUGGGUGACACCAUGCCAAAAAACAAUACUAUGGUGGGUAAUUUUUUUAUCAAGCUAAGAGGUCGGUGCAAAAAUUUGGUCUUGGUUGUUUGAAAAUUGAUUGUUGCCUAAACGGAUGCAUGUUGUAUUACAAAGAAAAUUCAGAUAAGAAUAUAAAUAAUUGUUUUUAUUUUGUAAAAGUGAUCGGUACUUGACAGUUAAUAGGAGAGGGAUUGAAAAGAAGUUUCUUGUUAAGAAAAUGUGGCACUUUCCACUCAUUCCAAGACAAAAAAGAUUAUACUCUUCAAUGGCCACUGCAUCUCACAUGAGAUGGCAUAGUGAGAAUCAGAGAGACCCGAAUGUCAUGUGUCAUCAAUCUGAUGGUGAAGUGUGGAAGCAUUUUGAUAGAAUGCAUCCAUAAUUUAGUCAGGACCCUAAGAAUGCCAGAUUAGGGUUAUGUUCAGAUGGGUUUAGUCCUUUUCGUCAAUUUGAGAAGACUUACUCUUGUUGGCCGAUCAUCUUAACUCCAUAUAAUCUUCCUCCUGGCAUUUUCAUGAAGAAAGAAUUUUUUUUAACUGCCUUAAUUCCAGGUCCAUCAGAUCCAAGGCACAAGAUUGAUGUGUACUUGCAACCGCUCAUAGAUGACUUGUGCACUUUGUGGAAUGAUGGCAUACCAACUUUUGAUGUGUCAUUGAGGCAAGAUUUUUUUAUGAAGGCUGCUUUGAUGUGGACAAUCAAUGACUUCCCGACUUAUGGGAUGUUAUCAGGUUGGAACGAUUGAAGGCAUUCACAAAUUUAAAUUUUCACAAGGUAUGCUAUUUUGAUUGUCAUAGCCAAUUUCUUCCACUUAAUCAUGCAUAUAGGAUGAAUAAAAAAUCAUUCAAGAAGGGUCAGGUUGAGACCUCACCCCUUCCUCCAUGUUUGUCUAGUCUUGACGUUUAGAAUAAAUUUCCACAUUUACCGCUUUGUCUUGAGUCGCAAGUAGAAAAAGAUUUUCCUGGUUAUGGUGUUGAACAUAAUUGGAAGAAGCAAAAUAUAUUUUGGUUGUUACUGUAUUGGAAAACAUAACUUCUGCAUCAUAACAUUGAUGUCAUGCACAUAGAGAGAAAUGUGUUUAUGAAUGUCUUUAACAUUGUGAUGGACAUCAAUAGAAAAAGCAAGGAUACACACAAUGCUUGAAUAGAUUUAGCAAAAAUAUGUAAAAAAAAAAAGAGCUUGAGUUGGUAGAUGUCGGUCAUGACAAGUUCUUUAAACCAAUGACCAAAUCCUAGAGACUGACUAAUCUUAAAUGGGUCAAAGAACUAAAGUUAUCAGAUGGCUAUGCCUCCAAUUUAGGUCGAUGUAUGGUUCUUAACGAGGAAAAAAUUAAUGGAAUGAAAAGUCAUGACUAUUAUGUUUUCAUGCAACGGUUGCUUCCAAUUGCAUUUGACUAAUUACCAAAACCUAUUUGGAAGCCACUUGUUGAACUUAGACAAUUUUUUAGAGAACUAACUUCGACAACAUUAAAUGUUGAACAACUAAGAGUUAUGGAAAAUAACGUACCUGUGUUGAUGUAUAAGUUAGAACAGAUAUUCCCAGCAAGCUUCUUUGAUUCAAUGGAGCAUCUUCGAGUUCGUUUACCUUAUGAGACAAGACUUGGUGGUCCGGUCCAAUAUCAUUGGAUGUAUCCUUUUGAGAGGUUUUUACACUCCCUAAAAAAUAAAGUCAAGAAUAAGGUUAGAGUCGAGGGAUUGAUUUGUGAAGCGUACUUAGUGGAGGAGACAUCUACCUUUGCCUCGUCUUACUAUCCUAAUUAAAUUGCAACAAGAAGGACUAGGAUGCCUCAGAAUGUUGAUGCAGAUGAAAGUUUUCAUCUUCUCCUCCUAUAUCAAUUUUCAAUUACCCAGGAAGAGCGAGCGGUAAAUCCAAAACAUAUAUUUUGGACCAAGUUGAUCUUCAUGUUGCUCACUUGUACAUUCUUCAAAAUUGUCUAGAGGUUGAGCCAUAUUUAGAGUAAGAUGAUUUUAAUACUUGUAUGACUCUAAUUAAUAAUUUAAUGAUGUUUUGUUGUGUACUUUGA